CCCCAGACGCCAAAUUGCUCUGAGGAAACUCUAACAAAGGAAUAUCUGCUAUCUGGAUAUAAAGAAACGGUUGAGGGGCUUGAGGAAGCUAGAGAAAUCUCACUAUCCCAGGUUCAAACUUUUAACAAGACAGUUGUCCUUAAUUGCAAGGAGGCUAUUAGAAAACAUCUUAGGUCAUC